AUAGGAGGAGGAGAGACUUGCCCACACUGAGCUCCGUUGGAUCGCGGAGGGUCCCCUAUGGAAGGGGUGGGAGCCCCAUCAUGGGGGCCAUUGAGAACUAGGCUGGAUGCAGCACAGGUGACUGGACUGCCCUCCAUCAGCUACUUGCUGGACUAGAUGGGCAAUAGUGUCUAAAGGGAAGCAGUGGAUGUGCCACUGUCUGGGCAUUUCAGACAGACUGGAACGAACAACAGGCCCCAUCUCUCCUUCUGCAGGUCAUACUCAGUCUUGGCAUCAGAGCACCUGUCUCCCACUGGCCUGAAUGCACUGGGGCCGAGUGAAUUGACGAGCCAGAGUCUCCCAUCCCAUGUGCUGAUGCAAGUCAGGAGGAACUCCAAAGCCAUCAACAGGGUUACACCAGAUGGUGAAACUGAGGCAGAGAGAGGGGACGGGACUUAUCCAUGGCCAAACAGUGAGUCAAUGGCAGCAUCCCGAUUCCUACUCAAAGCACUAAAUCUCCUGGAGGACAGGUAGAUUUGGCCUUAUGCUCAUCCAGUAAGAGAGCAGAAAUGAUAGCGUGUGAGCUAAGCAUCCAAUCAAAACAGCUUGAAUUCUGCAUCCCAAAUGCUUGUGGUGAACAAGACAGACCAAGAAUCAUACAUGACAAUUAUUCCACAAAUAAUUUCCAGUUGCAAUUGCAACUACACUUGCAUUGAUCCUGAUCUAUUCAUGGACAAUUGGCUCACAGAAAAAAGAGGCAAAGGGAUUGUGCCUGUCCAUCUUGAGUUCUUGACUGUUUGUUGUACUUGAACAGUUUUUGCAAGGAUUGGGUGUAUCCUGGCUGAAUUCCUGAUUGGGUAUCUACACUCAAUCUCCAUAAAUUCCUCCUGUAGGUACAGCUGGCUGUGGUGUUCAGCAACUUCCUGCCCUAAACUAACUUUUAUCAUCAUUGUGUUGUUGACGGCUGUUAAAUGGCACUGAGUUCUGCCUUGGAGAUGGUUGCAUUUCAGUACUAGCUAAGGUGAUCCGUGUGUGUGUGUGUGUGUGUGUGUUAAAUGGCACAGAUAAAGCUAAGGAAAAACACCCUGAGCUAAGUAAAUCCAAGUUAACAACCACUUUGAGCCAGCUGGUGUUUGUCUUCUGACAGCUCUUGGAGGAAGCCCCAAGAGACUGGAGAGACGCCACCAUCCAUUUAACCUCUAGUCCACUCUUGCUAAGGGUAACAUCUGCUUCUUGGUGAAACAAGCCUUCCCAGGGGACCUGCACAUUCUGCUCCAUUCCACAUUCUCCGAGGAGGCUGUGGCAAUGCUGUGGUGAUGGGCACAGUAUCAGCAUAAAUUAGAUUAGUGUAGACAGACCCUCAUCACAAUCAGCCCAUAGUCUGGCAGGUGGUGAUACUCCAGUGCUCAGUAAACUUUAUCUUCCCUUUUCCUGGUUUUUUUUUUUUUUUUUUAAAAACAAACAAACAGGCACUAGAAAUUAAAAAUGGUUCCCAAUUUUCUCAUGGGCCUCUUUCAGUCCCUUACUCCCUCUGGGUCUCCGUCGUCCAGCAGCACCAGGAUGACAAUUGUAAUCUCUCUUUCCUCCCCCCUCCCUUUGUCUGUUUAGGCCCCAAUCCUGCAAUAAGCUGCCCACAGCGGCAGGGAUUGUCUGUGCACAUCCCCCUGCAGGAUUGGUGCAGGGACUGUCUCUCACCCUGACCUUGGCUGGGGCCUCGAGCUUCUGUGCUAAUGCAAAUACGAAUCAGUAUAAAUCUGACAAGACUUGGGGAGAGUUCCACCAUUCCCCUCCAGGAUCUGCCAUAUACAGAAUCCUCCUGUUUAUCCAAAACUGUUAUCCAAACCUCUGCAUUCUCCUGCUGUCUUCCUUGUCCCCCAGCAUGAGAUACCUGCCCUCUGCAGCUUGGAACAGUUCUGGAAGAUUGAGAGAAAUCUCCUGGCUCACUCUGGUCAGGGUACGGACCGAGAUCACACUGCCACCUCCUCCAGCUCUGGCUGAAUCCUGAAUAUCACCUGGGAUGUGAGACGAGGGGCUUGCCACUGUAGCUGUGCAGCUGUAGACACAUCAGUGUAGACACCACCUAUGCCGCGUGGCGGGGGGGGCAGGUAUCCUGUCAGGGUAACUAGUCCACCUCCCGGAGAGGCAGUGGCUAAUUCUUCCAUCAACCUAGUGCUGUCUACACGGGGAUUUAGGCUUAACAACGCCACCCGGGGGAAGGGGGGGGGGUUGAUUUUUCACACUCUUGACUGAUGUAGUUAAACCAACCUAGUUUUUUUGUGUAGGCCAAGCCUGUAAUACACACCUCCCUCUAUGUGUCCUUUUCUCCCCACAAUUAUUUCUUCUUUCCCCUUUUGCCUUCUCUCUGGUUUACUCGGCCAGGAUUUCACAUUUUGCCACACUGCUGUGAGCCUGUGACCAGGAAGAGGCAGCUAAAAGCAAUGCCCUGAACAGCCCGAUGCUGGUACAAGUUUGCGAGUCUCAGCGUGGCCCAUCCGACUGUGCGCUGGGCCCCAAUUUCAGCACCGACGCUGCAAGUGAUAAGCAGCACUAGAGACAGAUGCUUCGUUUUCUCCUUUUGCUGUUCUUUUCUCUUCCCUUUGGCAUGUAUUUGCCUUGUUUUGUCUCCUUAGGAUCAGACUAACAAAAGCAGCAACAAUGACAGCUCCAGCCGCUCUCCGCUAACUCCUUCUCUAGUCCCCAAAAGCCCAGUUAUCUCAUCUUCAAUACCCUCUAACACACUGUCAGACAAAGGGCCUUUUCCUUCUAAAACUCUCUCCAGUUAAAGGGCAAGAGAACAAGAGAUGCUGUUACGAUGGAAGCCUUGCUUAACACUUCCAUUGCAAACGCUCUGACUUUGUUUUCUGUAUCUUUAAUAGAAGUUAAAAAGGAUUUUUGCUAAUGUGUCUCCCAUGGUCUAAGUGGGCUGAGGUCUGUGCAUCAAACCCCAAACCUUGUUUAACACUGGACAGUGAUGAGGUGAUGUUAACACCUCUGAUGCCUUCUAAAUCAAUACCGCACACCCUUUGGGACAGUUGGGCCAGAUGGGGAAAGAGCAUUUGCUGCUGACAAUAGCCCUAAAGAGCAUCCUGAAUUAAGCAUCUGUCAUGGCUCCCAGUCUCUGAUCUGCUGCAGGAAGCAAUUUUCACUGCAUUUUCUUUAAACUGGCAGCUGAUCAUCAAUCAGUUGGCUUUUCUCCCCCCUCUGCCUCUUCCCCCCACCCCCAUUUAUAUUAAUACCCUGUGCACCCAGCCAUCCAACCAUGUCAUAGCAAGGCCCAAUCCCACACAGCCCUUCUAGGCUCUGACCCCCAUUUGGCAGGGAACCUUCUGCUUUCAGUUGGGGCAAGAGGAUGCUCAGUAUCCCAGACCAAGUCAAGAUCACCCCUUUAUAGCCAAAGGAUGCAAGACCAGUGUCACCAGCCCCUAUUUACAGGUAGGGAAACUGAGGCACAAAGGAUUGCUGUGGCUCACAGAAGGCAGCUCUGCGAGUCAGUGCAGUAGCUGGGGGACAGAACCCAGGAGUCCUGUCUCCAUCUUGUGGCAUAAUGUGCUUCCAGCCACCCCCCAAAAUUAAAUCCCUGCCCUCUCAAACCGCGAAUCAUUGUUAAGACUCUUACAGAAUAAGAUUAUUAGUAAUGGAGUGAGGAAUUCUCUGUUUAAUCUAACUGGCUCCAGUCUUUCUAUUCCCACCCAUCCCUUUCUCUCUGUACAUCUGUCCCAAAGUUUUCCAGCAGUCUGACCAUCUCACUAGUCCUUUCUGACCCAGGCGAUUCAGCAUUAGCACUGUGGCAUGUCAAAGGUGUGUGUGUGGGGAGGGGGGCACAGGGUUAGCUUCCUCCAUGGAGUAAACCCUUUCUGUUAAUCCAGACUCCCCAGCAGCAUUUCACGACCCAAGGAUCUGUGUGGGAUUAAGAGAUGAAGAACUGGAAAGGAGUGGGAGAAGCAGGGUACAGGGUGGAUACCCAUUGCCACACACCCACGAAAGAGGCCUUCAGUGCAGAGAAGUGAGGCUAAGGGAAAGGCAGGCUAGUCAUGUGGUUAAGCUGGCUAGCACCCAGGAGACCUGGCUUCUACUCUCGGCUCUGCCACAGACACUGUGUGACCUUGAGCACAUCACUUACUCUGUUCCUCUGUAAAAUGGAGAUUGCGAUCCUUCCUUUGUCUGUUAGAUCAGUGGCUCUUGACUUUUCCUGACCACUGAAUCCCUUUCAAGAGGCUGAUUUAACUUAUGUAUCCCAAAUUUCACCUCACUUAAAAACAACUUACUUACAAACUCAGACAUAAAAGUACCAAAGUGUCACAGUACACUGUUACUGAAAAAUUGCUCACUCAUUUUUACCAUAUAUUAUAAAAUAAAUCAAGUGGAAUAUAAAUCUUGUACUUGCAUGUCAGUGUAUAGUAUAUAGAGCAGUAUAAACAAGUCAUUGUCUGUAUGAAAUUUUAGUUUGUACUGACUUUGCUAGUGCUGUUUAUGUAGCCUGUUGUAAAACUAGGCAAAUCUCUAGAGUUGCUGUCCCCCCUGGAAGACCCCCAUGUACUCCCAGGGGUACAUGCACACCCUGGUUGAGAACCACUGUGUUAGAUGGUGAGAUCAGAGGGCAGGGCUGGUUCUCUGGGUGCGCAGCGCUUAGCACGCUGGGCCCUGAUCCGACUGGGGCUGCCAAUGGAAUUCAGCCUGAGGCUACACUGUUCCCCCGACCCCACCAGCUCCUUCCUGGUUAGUGGGGAUUGCCCCUUUAGAGAGGAGCUUGCCCCCAUGUGGUUUUCCAGCAGGAGGGGGCAAUGGGGCCCAGAGGGAUUAAUGAGCCUGAAGCCAGAAGAAGCCCUGUUUAAGAAGCAGAUUCCUCUGCAACUCCCAUGUUCCCCCACCCAGAGGAACAGAAGGGCUGCACCUGCCCUCUGACCCCUCCAGGUGCCUUCCUAAAGGAGGGCCAGAUUAUCACCCAAUCUAGCCUGCAAAAGGGCAGCCUAGGGAGAGACGCCAUUGUCCUGGGAUCUGCUCUGCAAAUUGCUCUCCCCCACUGGCUUCGCUGCAGCCGAAUAAGAAGCAGGGGACACUGGGGGUUGUGCACGCAGGAAUGUGGGGUGCUGGGCAGCGCUGAGACCUGCUGGCGCGUGGGCUCCCAUCCUGGAGGGAAAGGGAGCAGCGGGGCUUGGCACACCUUAGGAUCAGGCCCUGGAAAGAGGCCACCCUACUUUGCCGGCGGAGCAGAGACGGGCAGCGACAGCUGGACGUGCACAGCUGCCUGCCCGGGGCAGGCGCUGGGAGGCCACUAGCGCUGCUGCCCCCUCGCCCAGGGCGGGUCACAGCCACACAUUCGCCCAGGAGCCUACAGCCUAAGCCCAGGGACCUUAUGAGCUCGGCAGGGGCUACGUGAGAACUGCCUGGACUCUCCAGCAGCACGUUUGCUGGGCUGCAGGCAGCGUUCCACGCCGAGGCAGAGGGGGUGCUCACCCCAGACACCCACUGCGAGCCGGGGGGUGCGGGCAGCUAGUUGUGCAUCCCGCGCUGCGUCUGUCCGUGCGAUGCUCCUCCGAGCAGGGU